rnacentral:rRNA from 1 species
AUGAACGAAACUUUGCAGAAGGAAUACGUGGCGGCCGAGGUGAAGGACGCACUAUUCCAAAUGGCACCGUCCAAAGCUCCGGGAGUGGACGGGUUCACAACGGGCUUCUACCAACGACAUUGGGACAUCCUUGGGGAUGAUAUUACUCAAGCAGAGGAAAAGGCUAAAAAUGCAAGUUGCGCGGUCAAGCUGGAUAUGUUAAAAGCUUAUGAUUGGGUGGAGUGGCAUUAUCUCGAAGCAAUGUUGUCCAAACUAGGCUUCGGGGGUAGUUUUAUCAGACUCGUCAUGAAGUGCGUCACUUCUGUUCGGUUCACGAUCAAGGUGAAUGGGGAACUCCUACCUUUCUUUGAUCCUACGAGGGGUCUCCAUCAGGGCUGCCCCAUGUCUCCUUACCUCUUCCUCAUUUGUGCACAAGGCCUCACAGCCUUCUAA